AUCUACGGCCAUACCACCCUGAACAUGCCCCAUUUUGUCUGAUCUCAGAAGCUAAGCAGGGUCGGGCCUGGUUAGUACUUGGAUUGGAGAAGCAAAAGAUU
rnacentral:rRNA from 1 species